rnacentral:rRNA from 1 species
UACGAAGGGUGCAAGCGUUAAUCGGAAUUACUGGGCGUAAAGCGCGCGUAGGUGGUUCGUUAAGUUAGGAGUGAAAGCCCCGGGCUCAACCUGGGAAUUGCUUCUAAAACUGGCGAGCUAGAGUAUGGUAGAGGGUGGUGGAAUUUCCUGUGUAGCGGUGAAAUGCGUAGAUAUAUGGAGGAACACCAGUGGCGAAGGCGGCCUCCUGGACCAUUCCUGACACUCAGACGCGAAAGCUAGGGUAGCAAACGGGAUUAGAUACCCGGGUAGUCCCUGAGCGGGCU